CAAUCAUGCAUGUACUGACGGUGUCUCUUUUGUGAAGUUUUGCAAGCAAUUUCUUAAUAAUAUGAAUGAACUUGCAAACGGUACUGGCUGUGUAGAUCAGGAAAUCUCCAGUCUAGAUCUGCUGCCACCUUUCCACAAGAUUGUCAUACGGGGACGAAUUUGGCAUUUAUUAUAUAAUUUUAUGCUGGCUUAUUGUGGCCUCCGACCGAUUUUAAAAUUUUGCAUGGAAAGACUGUUAGGUCACUUCAUAGAAAAGAAGCCGAAUAAUCCGUAUCAUGAGCAGUUCCCACCAAAUCCACAUGUCCCUAACUCACCCAUACCGAGUCGACUGAACGUAAAGGUCUUCACUGAGAGCGAAACGAAGAAUAUUAUUCAAGCGUGUAAAGCAAAUAAUUGCACAGUAACUGGAGCUAUCACAGCUGCGGCACAUUUAGCCUUUUGUGAACUUAUACAAGACGACAAAUCGAAAAAUAUGAAGUUCGAGUCCCUCUUUGCUAUCAAUGGUCGACGAUUCUGUGAUCCAAAACCGCACGACGAUUACCUGGGAUAUUUUGUGUAUGACAUGCAGGAAUUUUACAUGAAGUAUGUAGCAGGCAGUGGUGUUGAAUUUUGGAAGUUAGCUCAAGAAACUACUCAGCAAAUAAAAGAAUUCGUGGGGAAAGAAGCGUAUGUCGUUGAAGCCACG